rnacentral:lncRNA from 1 species
UUCUUUGGGCUCCAUGAGCACGAGCUUGUUCAGACACGACUCCUGGGGACAGAGCUGCUGGCUGGAUUGCUGGACACACCAACAGCAAAGGGAAAUGUUCUCCUCCUUAAUCCAUACACGAGGCGGUAAUGCAGGUACUGUGUUCUCCCUGGGUGCUAAUACAGCUUCAUGAUGUUACUGCAUCGUGAAGCAGAGGCAAAGCAGAAUACCCUUGGCUCACUGUGCUGCCUCUUACGUCUCCCUGAAGCCCCUAACCCAGCGCUGACUGGCAUAGGAAAUGGCUGAAGCCACAGCAGUUGCACUUUUAAGAAACACCUAUUCAUUUCAGUGCUGCCAAAGCUCAAUAUGUUUAUGGAUUUGUUCGUAAUUAUUUUGAGAGUAGAAUUCUGUUUGUUUGACGGUAUCUGAAAAAUGAAAUACCUGGGGCAACGUCGCCGAGUGCAGCUGGUACAUCAGCAGCGUGGGGACGUACUUGCUGUAAUUGUGAGGGUUGUAUUUAGUUCCACUGAAGGCACAGUUAACUCUGUGUUUGUCUGAUGGGCUGACGGUGCUGCCCUCUCCAUCACACCGUGCAAACCACCAGCUUGUCUUCACCAUGCUCCCUACAGCUGGGCACAACAGGAAUCCAGGCUUUUCUCUGCCCCUUGAGGUUACCAAAGCACACACACCUGGAUGGCACUGCUCAACAACAGUUUUCUUCCUUGCUCCAGAUAUUCACACUGCAUUUAAGCAGCAUUUUUUUUAAUCCAGUGACCUCAAAGUACUUUGCAAACAUUUAAUUAAAACUUCUCUGCCUCUAUGUGCAACAGGUCCUGCUCCCUAUGUCCAGUAAGCAAACAGAAGCAUGGAGAAGCACCAGCAACCUACAGCUUAAGCCCCUUUAAAGGGUUUUCAAGCCAGGCAUGUGAGCCAGAGGCAUCCAAAGUCAGCAGUGAGGACAGAGUGGAGCACAGCACCCUGUCUGCAGCCACAAGCCACCGCCGAUGGAUGAAGCUGCGGGUCAGCAGCACUGGGGAUGCUGGUGCUGAGCUCCUGUGUGGAGCAGUGCAUUCACACCAAGCUGUGAGCUGCGGUGCCUUGGCAGGACAGCCGUGCUAA